rnacentral:rRNA from 1 species
GCCACCACCAGGAGGGGCAGGUCCCCUAAGGAGUGAUUCGGUAACUGGGGUG